rnacentral:lncRNA from 10 species
GUAAUUAACUAUUUUCUUUCUUUUUUCUUUUUUAGGAAUAGGGUCUCAUAGGACAAUGUCUCAGUACAACCUCAAACUUCUUGGCUCAAGCGACCCUCUCGCCUCAGCCCCCCUAGUAGCUGGGACUACGGGCACACCACCAUGUCUAGCUGGGACUACAGGCACACCACCAUGCCUGGCUAAUUAAUUUUUUUUUUUUUUUUUUUAGAGAUAGGGUCUUGCUCUGUUGCCCAGGCUGAUCUCGAACUCCUGGGCUCAAGCAAUCCUCCUGCCUCAGCCUUCCAAAAUGUUGGGAUUAUAGGCGUGAGUCACUGCACCUGGCCUUGUAAUGAUCUAAUUUCUUGUAUGGUUUAUUUAUCAGGGUCUGCCUUCCUAACAGGCUGUAGGUUCCUCAAGGGUUGGGACUGUGCCUGUGUUCUGGGCACCUGCCCAUGCCUGGCAAUUUGAAGAAGCUCAAUUGCUACAUGUUGAAGGAAUGAAUAAUUGCAUGAGCAACCAUCGAUAAUUGCAUGCUACAACCAUCAAACUUGCAGGGUUCUUCCAUGGAAUAAGUGAGGUAAUUAUGUGUAAAAAUGAAUGAAUGUUGUACUUGUUAUAAAAUAAGAUCAUGGGCUGGAGAAAUAGUCCAGCGAAUGAGUGAACGAAUCAAUGGCCUCAGCUGCCCGAGUGGGCGGAGCUUACGUUCUUUCCACAAGGGAAGUUCCCUAGGAGUUUCCGUCAGUAGCUCCCGAGCACGCCGGAGGCCUGGCCUGUGGAUGAGAUUGUUCCUUAUUUCCCCAGCUUCAGCACCACAGAAGAGACCAGAGUCUACCUUGCCAGCUCCUCUAGCACCGACCACGUGCCAAUUCAUGUCCUGAAUGCUCACUUCACUUCUUCACCUUGCUUCACUUCACUUACUGCACGGGAACAGAAAAGCCUAGAGAGGAUGGAUUACCUGUGCGGUUGCCUCCCUCUGCAGAGUGGGCGUGUCUCAGGAGCUUCUCUUCUUCUCCAGCCCAGUGCGGCCUCGUGUCAUCCAUAGGACCCACCGGCAGAGGGCAGGGCCUGCGAGUGGGGCCAGCCUCCUGGUGACUCUCGCCUCCUCUUUUCCAGCGGACGCUACCAGAGGACGAAGGUCUGACUCUGGCCAACGGCCCAGAAUUUCUGGCCCAGUUUUGCCUGAGGAAGCCAACUGUGCAGGAGGUCAGGAUCCCGGUAGGGUGAGAGUGGGAAAGUUAACAUUCCCAAGAGACUCCAAGCAACAGGAUUUCCUGACCUGGGACUAUUACCUUUCUCACAUUACAUGGCCAGAUUUACUUCCUGCUAUUAUUAAAAGUACGAAAAAGAUGAAGAUAUGUGUUUAAUGGAAACAAGGGCAAGAGUUUGCCUGACUGGACUUUGAGGAGGCUGUAGGAUCAUGGCGCUAACGGCAUUUGGAGGGCUGGGAAGGGACUCUAGCCCUGGCUUUACCUGCCUUUGUCAUCAGCUGGAGCAAGCAACUCCGCAACCUCGGAGCCUCAGUUUCCUUUUCUGUAAAAGGCGGGGAGGGUGGGUGGUAAGUGCAAUGCUGAAUCAGAACUCAUAGAGCUGCUGGGUGGACAUGUGAAGUAAAAGAGGAGACAGCUUUUGCUCCUGAAGGAUGCCAUUUGCGUUUUCCUCAUCAGUUUGAUCUCCUCCAAUCAUCCAGCACCUCCAUCUGACCUUCUCAGCUGAGAGGUCCUCAGUGUUUCUGUGGCCUCCAGGAGAAAGGUCCCCCUCCCCGGCUGAGGCCAGGCUGAUGGCAGGCUGCACGGCCAGCCUUCCACAGUCACCUGAAGGAUACAGAAAAGGAAGAGCUGGAGGCUUCUAGCAAGCUGCCGAACUGUGUCCUCCAGCUGCGCCCAGCCCCCUGGAGGUAGCGCCGGAGCACGUGGUGGUGGCUAUGUAGGAAGGCCCCUUUCGAGCCGCCCUAUACUGUCUUUGGGAUCUGCUUUUUACUGCCACAGCCUAUGUGCUCCUGAUUCUUCUCUCAAUCCCUGGAUGGAAACCGGCCUCUGAUACUUGGCUCUGCUUCCUUGGAGGAGCUACUUAACCAUUCAGUCCUCUCUGCAGUUAGCUAUUAAGGUUGUCCUGCGAACUGAAGCAGAGAGUCCCCGCAAAGGGUGCAGAGUAGGGCACCCACAGAGGAGCCUCUAAAGCACUUUCCAUGAGGUGGAUGGCUUCUCCUCCCCAAGGGACCCAGGAAGGAAAGGAGAGCUGCUUCUGCCUCCCCAGCAGAGAGGGACCUUCCCAGAGAAGAUGUCUUGCGCCUCACCUGAUCUUGUUCUGAGAGUAGGAGACUGGAAGAGAAGCGUUCAACUCCCCAAACACAGCUGGGUUUGUUUCGUUUAAUCUCCCAGCCUGUUUUUCUGCUGUCCUCCUGAAGAAUGUUUAAUCUCACAGUUAAAACCACCAAAAGCGACUUUUUUCCCCCUCAACUGCUCAGUAACACAUGACCGUGCAAAUUCGUUUGGCCCCAGCGCCACAAGUCAUAAAAGGCAUCUAGUGGGCGGCAUGAGUCAAUCAGGCCUUUGGACGGUGACGUAACCACAGCUUGUCAGUUUCCCCAUCCAGGCAGCCCCAAUCCCCCAGUGCAGACAUCUGGAGCCAGGGAUUGACAAGUGGAUUCCAGGAUUGGGCCCUGCCUCCCGCCCUGUUCAGUUCCAGCCCAGCCACGGCCGCCGCCAACGAGGACACGCACUGUCUUUCUGCACAUUCCCACGUACACACACCCCCGCAGCCCCCUCUCCACUCAUUCCUGCAUUUCCGGCAAUGUGAAUUCUGACAGCUCGGGCAGUGUCAGCCUCUCCGGUGCAUUCCUCACCACACCACCUCACUGCUCCCGAGCCUGCUGACAGCACUCCCCGCCAUACCUACCAAGCCGAAGGUGCAAGGAACCUCUUGAUCCCCACUGUGUCUUUGUCCCAGGGCCACAGCAAAAUAGCACCCCCCUCCCCCACACACCCUCUAGCCUAAUUUAUUAGACUUUUAAACACAUUUAUUUACUGUGAUAUCUACACCACACCAAACAUCUGGAGGGAAACCGGGAGACAAUCCACCAGGAAUUUAAAUGUUUGUUCUGCAAUGUAACUUUGAAAACCGAACCAGGAAAACUUGACAUCUUUAGCCAAUUGCUUGGUGGUGAGUAGACUUAAGCCAAUAUAUAAUCUGUAAAGGUUGUCCCUCUUUGCCCUCUCUCUAUCCAUGAAACGCAUUCACCAAACAGCCCAGAAAUAUUUCUUUCUUCUCCUCUCAGAGGUAUGUGAAACCAACCUGAAUCAACAACAUAGUUGUUCAACCAGCCUCACUGAGAACGAAGGCAUUUCAGAGCUGGAAAGACGCUAGGGUCUGGGGUCUUAUCUUCCACAUUUAUCUGCCUUAUUAUAAUCCAUCCAGUCAUCCUCUUUGCCCUUGCCAGAUCUCAUCGCUUACACUACCACUACCGAAGGAGCAUAACGUCUGUGACUUUUCUUUUUUUUUUUUUUUUUUUUUGAGAUGGAGUCUUGCUCGGUAACCGGGCUGAAGUGCAGUGGCAGGAUCUUGGCUUACUGCAACCUCUGCUUCCUGGGUUCAAGUGAUUCUCCUGCCUCAGCCUUCUGAGUAGCUGGGACUCCAGGCAUGCGCCACCACGCCCAGUUAAUUUUUGUAUUUUUAGUAGAGAUGGGGUUUCACUAUGUUGGCCAGGUUGGUCUCGAACUCCUGACCUCGUGAUCCAUCUGCCUCGGCCUCCCAAAGUGCUGGGAUGACAGGUGUGAGCCACCGCACCCGGCCACGUCUGUGACUUUUCUAAAGCUUUAAGAUGAUGUCACCCAUAGGCAGAAAGGCCCACUCAUUUCGUGCAUCUGCAGUCACUCUUCUGACGAGGUGCGGCUCUCUUUUGUUCUAUCAAAGAGAAAGCCAGUCUAAAUUAAUGGGAAACUAGAGAAUUAGGUCAUUUUUCAAGAUGAAAUUGCUGGUAGCUUAAGGAAUCAGCUACUUGAAUCCCAUGCUAAAAAAGUGUAACUCCUGAGGAGUGAGCUCUUCUUUCUUCCUUCCAUAAUGUCAGGCACUAAGGGAGGUUCAGAAACACAGAGCAGCAUCUACUCCUUUCUCAACGAGCGUGGGGUCCAGUGCAGUUGGCCCUCAUUUAACAAAUAAUUACACCCAUGCGUGAAAGGUCCAGUGGGGAAACAGUGCGGGGAGCCUCAGGCAGAGCUGAUUCAGGCCUGGGGAGGCACGGGAGCCACAUGUUCAGGGUCCACAGGCCCAGCGGAGUGAUACGGAAGUUUCCAAGAUGGUAAGCCUCUCUCCUGGCCCAUGCUCACCAACGGGACCCCAUUCCUAACCAGGCUUUCCCUCUCUCUCUUUUAAGUGUUCCAGGAAUGUUCCUACCCCUGCGUCUUUGCUGAAGCCCCUCUUGCCUGGGAUGCCCUCUGUCCUCUCUUUCUGCCCACACACAUCCUGCCAGUCCUUCAGACAGGGCCAGCCUCACGGGCAUAGGACCUGAGCAGUUUCACAGGGCCCUAUGCACAGAAGGAUCCCAAGCUCGGUUGAUUGCUCCGAUCUUGCCAUCUUGAAACUCUUUGAUAAUUUUAUCUUUUAUCUUGUGUUUUGGGAGUGAAAUCCAAUGGGAUAUUGGGGCCUGCAAAGGAGAAGAGGAGAUCCGCACAAACCCGUUCCUGGCUGCUGCAUUCACCUCCAGCGUUUGUGAUGCCCCAGAGCACAGAACUCCAGGGAGCCCACGAUGCAGGAGAGUUCAGCGACAUUCACUGAGUACAAGAGAAGACUGUUGGGAGGCACCAAUGGACUUUGCAACUGGAGAUCUCCCAACUGGACCAUGUCACUGUUAUGUUUAAUUUGCACUGUGCACAGUAGGUACCCAGUCAACGUUUGUCGAAUUCCAUGGACUGGGCCUUAUACCUCCGAGGAUUUUUCACAGCAGUAGCAUGUGCACAUGCACAGAACGAGAACACAACCAAUGCUUGUUUGCUGGUGAAGACCUGGUCUCAGUAUUUUGCCCAGGAAACCCUUUCUUCAUGGACAGCAUGAGGCAAGCUAUGGCCCUUGCUGUGGUCUCAGUGGUUCAGCACGGAAGAUGAAGAUGACGGGCAGUCUCAGAAUAUUAGCUUUAGAAGGGACUUUGGAUCCUUUUGAUUUUGGUAGGUGAAAUACUUUUUAAAAAUAAAGAAAACGGACUUUGGACAAAUGCUCUCAUUUUGUAAAUGAAAAAGUAGAGACAGGAAGAGUAACUGAUUUGUCCAAAAUCAAACAAAGUAAAUUGUGUUGCAUCCUCUCCAUCCGUAACCACCUUCGCCUUCCCUAACUGCUCCAUGUGGCCUGGGAAAGUCCACUUCACCUCGUCUUAGAGGUGGGCUUCUGAUUCUAGCUAAGCCAACCCCCA